rnacentral:rRNA from 1 species
UAGGGAAUAUUGCACAAUGGGCGAAAGCCUGAUGCAGCAACGCCGCGUGCGCGAUGACGGCCUUCGGGUUGUAAAGCGCUUUUCGUGGAGAUGAGGAAGGACAGUAUCCCCGGAAUAAGUCUCGUCUAACUACGUGCCAUCAGCCGCGGUAACACGUAGGAGCCAAGCGUUAUCCGAAUUCACUGCGCGUAAAGCUCGUGUAGUCGGCUUGGCAAGUUGGAUGUGAAAGCUCCUUGCUCAACUGGGAGAGGACGUUCAAUACUGCCGGGCUAGAGGGCGACAGAGGGAGGUGGAAUUCCCGGUGUAGUGGUGAAAUGCGUAGAUAUCGGGAGGAACACCAGUGGCGAAAGCGGCCUCCUGGGUCGCACCUGACGCUCAGACGCGAAAGCUAGGGGAGCGAACGG